AUGUAAAAUACAUUCGAGAUUAUCGAUUUAAAUUGAUUUACAGCCUUUUAAUUUGAGAUAACCAAUGGAUUUUGAAACGAAUAUUGACUAUCGAUUUGAGAUUAUUGCAUCUUUUGUAAUACUUCAAGGACGAGACUCAGCGAUAUAUCGAAUGACACACGGAUCGAUAUUUCCGAACGCGUUCUCUUUGAGAUACGUUUAAAGAAAAUUAUCCAUUAGAAUUUUGCAAUGGAAAAUGUUUCAAUUUAAUCAAACAUAGUUGGAAAGUAUUUUUAUUUUUUUUUUCUUCUAUAUGAUUAAUUUUAUUUUUAGUUAUGCAUUUGUUAUGAAAUAAUGUUAUUUAAAAUGGAAUGGAAAAACGAGUUGGUGCAACACAUUGAUACAUGCGUAAUUUGUGUUUUACAAGUCGCGUGGAAGCGAAGCAAACCGUAACACACAACAUCAUCGAGGACACAGGUUACGUAAUACGACGCUCGAGAAACGAACUGGUAAAACGAAAUGAAAAAAAUUCCUUGCCAAUCUUUUUCUUCUCUCUGCUAUAUCUGAGGAUAUUCGAUUAAUCUUACAAACGAUAAUUUUAAAUCUUCUUUUAAAUCUAAAACUUCAAAAUCAACGUUAUUUCAACUGCCUCUGCAAUGGGACUAACAAGGAUACCAGAAACUUUUGAAUCAUACUUAAGAAAAUUCCCAUUAAUACUAUUAAUUUAUUAUAUUGUCAAAAUUAAAAUGUAAUUUUAAUGUUUUUUAUUGUUAAAUAAUAUCUUGAAGAUAAUAAAAGAAUAAUGGUGUUGAACCAAGUUAACGUGUUGUCAACAGUUCAAGUUGAAAUUCCUUUUGAGGACGUUUCCAUGACGAAAAGUUGGAACGAAACCGAUUAUCGAUUUAUCACUGGCUUAUCAUUUGCUAAGCUGAAAUAACCUAGGACAAGCUUAUCGGUUUUCUAUCUUUUUACCUUUUUUUUCUAUAUUUCUUUUUUUUAGUUGAAAUAAAAAAGAUACAAUUAAUAUAAUAUGAAGCUCAUAUCAAUGUACUAAACAUUUCAUUUUACCCAACGUGGAAAGAUUUUCCAAACUUCGUUUACUUUCAUUCGUAUAUAUAUUUAAACUUAAUUUGAAAAAUACAAACAUUAAAAUCUCUUAGAAAGAGAUCUUUAAUAAAAAGAGAUAAAUAUUGGAACAAAGUCUUUGUCAAUGUUAACUGGAAGAUCAAUGACAUUUAAAUUGACCAUAAUGGAGGCCACAAUGACAUCAAAAAACAUUACAUCUCAAGAACGAAUAAUCAACUAAAUUAAAGAAGUUUAAUUAUAUUUUAUCGGUGUUUAAUUAUGUUAUGAAUCGUUAAAAUAA